UGGGGAAUUUUGGACAAUGGGCGAAAGCCUGAUCCAGCAAUGCCGCGUGUGUGAAGAAGGCCUUCGGGUUGUAAAGCACUUUUGUCCGGAAAGAAAUCCUUGGCUCUAAUACAGUCGGGGGAUGACGGUACCGGAAGAAUAAGCACCGGCUAACUACGUGCCAGCAGCCGCGGUAAUACGUAGGGUGCAAGCGUUAAUCGGAAUUACUGGGCGUAAAGCGUGCGCAGGCGGUUUGCUAAGACCGAUGUGAAAUCCCCGGGCUCAACCUGGGGAACUGCAUUGGUGACUGGCAGGCUAGAGUAUGGCAGAGGGGGGUAGAAUUCCACGUGUAGCAGUGAAAUGCGUAGAGAUGUGGAGGAAUACCGAUGGCGAAGGCAGCCCCCUGGGCCAAUACUGACGCUCAUGCACGAAAGCGUGGGGAGCAAACAGGAUUAGAUACCCUGGUAGUCCACGCCCUAAACGAUGUCAACUAGUUGUUGGGGAUUCAUUUCCUUAGUAACGUAGCUAACGCGUGAAGUUGACCGCCUGGGGAGUACGUCGCAAGAUUAAACUCAAUGAAUUGACGGGGUCAUAGCUGUUCCU
rnacentral:rRNA from 1 species